GCAGACCAGCGCUUCAUUUCUGAUGAGAAGGCAGCCAUCCAAAAAUCAGCUUAAUGAAAAUGCUGUAUCUCACUGCACUAUUGCCACCGUACGCCACUGAUGAACGAGAGCUCUGCACAAGAUGUAAACCAAGGACCCUGGAAUCAGCAUCGCGUGUGGCACAAGCUCCGUUCCCUUCUUACAUCACAAAGUCGUAAGAUGGAGCAUGGAUCCCUGCUUGGUUGUUGGCAUAAGAUAGUAUGUCCAUGGUUGGAAUUCACCUUCCCUAACCCUUACCAUCUAAAAGUUAGAUGAGGUUAAUGUACAGUCUAAAGUACAACAGCUGGUUCCUCCUUCAGUUUGUGGAGAAGACCCUGUCUCUAGUACUAGUGAAAUAGUAACCAUAUGCCUACCACCUUUUCCCACGUCCCAGAUGUUAAGUAUGGGUUAUGAUCUCGUUCCCAGGAACCACGGAAAUACAAGAAGUGGUAGUACUUUGUACAUGAGUAUGAACAAGUAGAAUAUAGACCCUUAUUCUUCCUGAGGAAAGUUCAACUUUAAAUUUGGCUCCAAGGAAUCAGGAAUGCUUUAUCUUCUGCUGGUACUUGUCUCAUCCUGUAGAAUAAACUGACAUUGAAAUGCUUUG